GAUAAAAAGCUCGUAGUUGGAUUUCUGCGGGGGCGGGGCGGCCGACCUCAACUCGAGGUUCGAGCUAGCACUUCCCCUGCAUCCUGCCGCGAACCGUGCUACCAUUAGUUUGGUGGCGCUGGGGAUCGGCUCGUUUACUUUGAGAAAAAUAGAGUGUUCAAAGCAGGCCACACGCCUUGAAUAAGUUAGCAUGGAAUAAUGAUAAAGGACUUCGGUUCUAUUUUGUUGGUGUUCGGGACUGAAGUAAUGAUUGAUAGGGACAGUUGGGGCGGUCAGUAUUCCAAAGCGAGAGGUGCAAUUCUUAGACCUUCGGAAGACUAACAGCUGCGAAAGCGUUCCGCAAGGAUGUUCCCUUUGAUCAAGAACGAAAGCUGGGGGAUCGAAGACGAUCAGAUACCGUCGUAGUCUCAACUAUAAACUAUACCAGCUAGGGAUCGGCCAACGUUUACUUAUAUCGACUUGGUCGGCACCUUAUGAGAAAUCAAAGCAUCUGGGUUCCGGGGGGAGUAUGGUCGCAAGGCUGAAACUUAAAGGAAUUGACGGAAAGGCACCACCAGCCGUG
rnacentral:rRNA from 1 species